AAGGUUUCCGGGACAGAGUGUCCUGGGACGGAGACACCGGGCGGUUCACCAUAAGAAGACUGCAGAGCAACGAUUCAGGGAUUAAAUUCUGUUAAUCAAGGAGGAAAAUCUGAAUCAUUCAAGCUGAGUGUUUAUGAUGCCGUCCUGGAGCCCGGUGUCACCGUAACGUCUGUGAGCAGCGAGGGCUGCACCCUGCUGUGUGCUGUGGACCAACUGAGUGGAGGGACUCUCUCCUGGUAUCAAGGAGAGGUCCUGGUGAACCAGAGCAGCACCCAGCGCUCUCUCCCUCUGACCGUGGACAGGCUGGGUCUCCGGUCCUCCUACCGCUGUGUGUCUGCCAACCCUGCUGGUAACCUCACCCGGUCAGUCGACGCUAAGACGUCCUGCCCAGUAGAACAGCUCACUGGUGAUGAAGAGGAACCCAUAUGGCUGUUCCGGGUUGUGAUUCCGAUCGUCUGUGGUGUUACAUUCAUCCUAUUCUUAUCUGUCAUCAUAUUCUAUGUUGAAAGACAUCUCCAAG